UACGGAGGGUGCAAGCGUUGUCCGGAAUCACUGGGCGUAAAGGGCGCGUAGGCGGCUCAUGAAGGCUGAUGGUGAAAGUCCGGGGCUCAACCUCGGAUCGGCCGUGGCGACUCGUGGGCUGGAGCACUGUAGAGGCGGGUGGAAUUCCGGGUGGUAGCGGUGGAAUGCGUAGAGAUCCGGAAGAACACCAGUGGCGAAGGCGGCCCGCUGGGCAGUGGCUGACGCUGGAGGCGCGACAGGCGUGGGGAG
rnacentral:rRNA from 1 species